rnacentral:rRNA from 1 species
UACGUAGGGUGCGAGCGUUAAUCGGAAUUACUGGGCGUAAAGCGUGCGCAGGCGGUUCGUUGUGUCGGCGGUGAAAGCCCCGGGCUUAACCUGGGAAUGGCCGUUGAAACUGGCGAACUGGAGUGUGGCAGAGGGGGGGUGGAAUUCCGCGUGUAGCAGUGAAAUGCGUAGAGAUGCGGAGGAACAUCGAUGGCGAAGGCAGCCCCCCUGGGCUAACACUGACGCUCAGGCACGAAAGCGUGGGGAGCAAACAGG